rnacentral:rRNA from 1 species
UGCUGGAGGUAUCAGAAGUGCGAAUGCUGACAUAAGUAACGAUAAAGCGGGUGAAAAGCCCGCUCGCCGGAAGACCAAGGGUUCCUGUCCAACGUUAAUCGGGGCAGGGUGAGUCGACCCCUAAGGCGAGGCCGAAAGGCGUAGUCGAUGGGAAACGGGUUAAUAUUCCCGUACUUGGUGUUACUGCGAAGGGGGGACGGAGAAGGCUAUGUUGGCCGGGCGACGGUUGUCCCGGUUUAAGCGUGUAGGUGUGUGUUCCAGGUAAAUCCGGUUCACUUUAACACUGAGGCGUGACGACGAGGCACUACGGUGCUGAAGCAACAAAUGCCCUGCUUCCAGGAAAAGCCUCUAAGCAUCAGGUAACAUCAAAUCGUACCCCAAACCGACACAGGUGGUCAGGUAGAGAAUACCAAGGCGCUUGAGAGAACUCGGGUGAAGGAACUAGGCAAAAUGGUGCCGUAACUUCGGGAGAAGGCACGCUGACAUGUAGGUGAAGUGAUUUACUCAUGGAGCUGAAGUCAGUCGAAGAUACCAGCUGGCUGCAACUGUUUAUUAAAAACACAGCACUGUGCAAACACGAAAGUGGACGUAUACGGUGUGACGCCUGCCCGGUGCCGGAAGGUUAAUUGAUGGGGUCAGCGCAAGCGAAGCUCCUGAUCGAAGCCCCGGUAAACGGCGGCCGUAACUAUAACGGUCCUAAGGUAGCGAAAUUCCUUGUCGGGUAAGUUCCGACCUGCACGAAUGGCGUAAUGAUGGCCAGGCUGUCUCCACCCGAGACUCAGUGAAAUUGAACUCGCUGUGAAGAUGCAGUGUACCCGCGGCAAGACGGAAAGACCCCGUGAACCUUUACUAUAGCUUGACACUGAACAUUGAGCCUUGAUGUGUAGGAUAGGUGGGAGGCUUUGAAGCGUGGACGCCAGUCUGCAUGGAGCCGACCUUGAAAUACCACCCUUUAAUGUUUGAUGUUCUAACGUGGACCCGUAAUCCGGGUUGCGGACAGUGUCUGGUGGGUAGUUUGACUGGGGCGGUCUCCUCCUAAAGAGUAACGGAGGAGCACGAAGGUUGGCUAAUCCUGGUCGGACAUCAGGAGGUUAGUGCAAUGGCAUAAGCCAGCUUGACUGCGAGCGUGACGGCGCGAGCAGGUGCGAAAGCAGGUCAUAGUGAUCCGGUGGUUCUGAAUGGAAGGGCCAUCGCUCAACGGAUAAAAGGUACUCCGGGGAUAACAGGCUGAUACCGCCCAAGAGUUCAUAUCGACGGCGGUGUUUGGCACCUCGAUGUCGGCUCAUCACAUCCUGGGGCUGAAGUAGGUCCCAAGGGUAUGGCUGUUCGCCAUUUAAAGUGGUACGCGAGCUGGGUUUAGAACGUCGUGAGACAGUUCGGUCCCUAUCUGCCGUGGGCGCUGGAGAACUGAGGGGGGCUGCUCCUAGUACGAGAGGACCGGAGUGGACGCAUCACUGGUGUUCGGGUUGUCAUGCCAAUGGCACUGCCCGGUAGCUAAAUGCGGAAGAGAUAAGUGCUGAAAGCAUCUAAGCACGAAACUUGCCCCGAGAUGAGUUCUCCCUGAGACUUAAAGUCUCCUGAAGGAACGUUGAAGACGACGACGUU